CAAGUUUCUGAACGGAAAGGACUAUUUCUUUUAUCGUAAAGAGUAGGGGAAAAAGGACUCCAAAGUAACCAUCAGUGAGAGAAAUUAAUAUCUCACAGUCCACCCUUUCCGCACUCCUGGCAGGGUAGGCUAGACAGGUGUUACUGCUUUUUGCAGAUGUGGGUGUUGAGAUUUGGCCGCGAGAAAGCUGCACAGGUAGAAUUUGGAGUAGAUUCAAUGGAGAAACCCCGGAAUGAAUGGGCUUAAGUAGAGAGGAGAGGGCAGAAGAAAGUUGAGACGGAUUAUAAACUAUAAGGACCGCGCAAGUCUGGAACUGUCAGGGGCCACCUUGCCACCACAUGGAGAGAAGCUGUUUGAAGAUGAAGUCAGACAAAGGCCAGCAGAACUGAGAAAUAAGAGAGGGAAGUGGAGCUCUUAUGUAGAAAUAGUUUGCACCAGUUCUUGGAGUUUCCAGUUGCAUUAUUCACAAUAGCCAACACUUGGAAACAACCUAUGUGCCCAUCAAUGGAUGAAUGGAUAGAGACAUGGUAUACACAAUGGAAUACUAUUCAGCCAUAAAAAGAUGAAAUCUUGGCAUUUCAACAUCAUAGAUGGACCUUAAAGGUAUUAUCAUAAGUGCAAUAAGUGAGAUUUCACUCAGAAGUAGAAGAUGAAAACAAUAGUGACAACAAACAAACACACAGAUAUAGAGAUUAGAUUGGUGGUUACCAGAGAGGAAGAGGAGAGUGGGGAGGGCGAAAGGAGUAAAAGGGCACAUGUGGACAGUGAUGGAUGGC
rnacentral:lncRNA from 1 species